rnacentral:rRNA from 1 species
CUCCCGAAUGCAUCUAGAUUAUUANUUUGAUCAUGGCUCAGAAUGAACGUUGGCGUGCGUUGGAUUAGGCAUGCAAGUCGAACGGGUCCGCCGCAAGGCGGAUCAGUGGCGCAAGGGUGAGUAAGGCGACGGUAACCAACCCCCAUGGUCGCGGUAUAGCCGCGGGAAACUGCGGGUAAUCCCCAGCGACGUAAGACGCCGGCAUCGGUGUCUUACCAAAGCUUAU